AGAGUUUGAUCAGGGCUCAGAUUGAACGCUGGCGGCAUGCCUUACACAUGCAAGUCGAACGGCAGCAUGAUCUAGCUUGCUAGAUUGAUGGCGAGUGGCGAACGGGUGAGUAAUACAUCGGAACGUGCCCUGUAGUGGGGGAUAACUAGUCGAAAGAUUAGCUAAUACCGCAUACGACCUGAGGGUGAAAGUGGGGGACCGCAAGGCCUCAUGCUAUAGGAGCGGCCGAUGUCUGAUUAGCUAGUUGGUGAGGUAAAGGCUCACCAAGGCGACGAUCCAGUAGCUGGUCUGAGAGGACGAUCAGCCACACUGGGACUGAGACACGGCCCAGACUCCUACGGGAGGCAGCAGUGGGGAAUUUUGGACAAUGGGCGAAAGCCUGAUCCAGCAAUGCCGCGUGUGUGAAGAAGGCCUUCGGGUUGUAAAGCACUUUUGUCCGGAAAGAAAUGGCUCUGGUUAAUACCUGGGGUCGAUGACGGUACCGGAAGAAUAAGGACCGGCUAACUACGUGCCAGCAGCCGCGGUAAUACGUAGGGUCCAAGCGUUAAUCGGAAUUACUGGGCGUAAAGCGUGCGCAGGCGGUUGUGCAAGACCGAUGUGAAAUCCCCGAGCUUAACUUGGGAAUUGCAUUGGUGACUGCACGGCUAGAGUGUGUCAGAGGGGGGUAGAAUUCCACGUGUAGCAGUGAAAUGCGUAGAGAUGUGGAGGAAUACCGAUGGCGAAGGCAGCCCCCUGGGAUAACACUGACGCUCAUGCACGAAAGCGUGGGGAGCAAACAGGAUUAGAUACCCUGGUAGUCCACGCCCUAAACGAUGUCAACUAGUUGUUGGGGAUUCAUUUCCUUAGUAACGUAGCUAACGCGUGAAGUUGACCGCCUGGGGAGUACGGUCGCAAGAUUAAAACUCAAAGGAAUUGACGG
rnacentral:rRNA from 1 species